CUGGUGCUGGCGGCCAGCAAUCCUUGGAUGUAUUUCUGCCUUCUGUCACUUGCCUAUGUCCUCUCCUUUCUAGCUUCUGUAACACCUGAUUCUUUUUAUAAAAAUUGCUGCAAUCUAAUUAAAACACACCCUCAUUCAUUUGGCCACACAAUAACUAAAAGUAUCAUGUUCAGGAGAUCCUACUUACAAUAGGUUCCCACUAAUAACAGCAUGUCUAAUUUUGUGUACAUAAUUCAGUCUACCAUGGGGGUUAGUUUAUUUUAUGUUUUCCAGGUAUAUGAUGUGAUUAUAUCUGAGAAUUUGGGGUGUAGGGUAGGUUUGUGUAAUUGUGGAUUUGGAAGCAGUUUUAUGUGUACCUAUAUAGGUUAGAAUGAGAUAGUUCUUUGUGUCUUCAGUGUGUGUGACUCAUAUGUGUGUAUAUCCAGGAGUGAGUGGAUGAAUUGUAUAUGUUUAUCUAUAGGAUAUAGCAUGUUAAAAGUAUUCACAGCCUUCUUUGGAAAAUGCUAUGGUUUUCAAAUGUGUCUUUGGCAAUGGUUUGGGGUUAGAGAGGUGGGGUUUUAUUCUGGAUAUAUGGAGAUGAUGUAUAAUGCUUGCCGGUGUAUAUGUUCAGGUAUUGGAAAUAUUUGAGAGUGUAUGUCUGCGUUUACUGUCUGUAGGGAGAUCAUGUUUGCAUAUUAUCAAUAGUGCAGAGAUAGCUGGUGUUUGUAUGUUUUGUGUGUAUCUAUCUGAGUGUUAGCUACAUAAUUAUAAUCAUGGGUUUUGUGUAAGUGUCUUCAUAGGGAGUUUGUGUGUGUAAUAAAGGGUUCACUGAAUAUCUUUGCUUAUUCUGGAAUAAAAUGCUCGAAGGUCUUGGUACAGUUGUGUGUAUAUGUGUUUUCAGGUCCUUGUUUGUAAUUGAUGUCUAUAGUUUGUUUGUACCUCUCUAUGCAUUUGAGUUCACGGAGAUCAGGAAGUUCAUCGAGUAUGUCCUCUUUGAUAUAUGAUAGUUCAGUAUUGGAAACUAACAGUAUGUGUAGGUUGUGCAUGUGUUGAGAAAUUGUGAAUAUUGUACAGUUGUGGGAUUGUGUGUAGGUCCAUUAGGGGGACAUAUGAGAUAAAUGUUUGUUUCCUUGGUGCUUUGAGAGCCUGUGCGUUUGUAGGGUGUUUAGUGUGUAUAUACCAGAAAUGUGUUUGUUGCAAGUUUGUUUUCAGGCAGGUUUGUAAUUUUUUAUGUGCCUAUCGUAGGACUGGCAUGUGGGUAUUCUAGGUGGGUAUGUUUUCACUGUAAAAAUUUAGGAAUAAUAGGUCAUUUGACUAUACUUAAGGUGUGGGUACAAUUGGGCAUGUUUGUCUAGGAUAUAUGAGAGUCUGUGUGUCUGGAGAUAUAUAGGGUGGUUUUACUGGUGUAGUUAGGGUGGGAGUUGAGGGUCCUCCUUGGGGUACAACUCCAUCCUGUAUACAUGUUCCUAUGAAAGGGGAUCAAGUUCACUGGAGCUGGUUCAUAUUAGCAAGAUAUGGUGGUUUAGAGCUGUAUGUACUCCAGAAAAAUAUGUUCUUAAUCAAUUCCCAUUGUAAUUAGUACCUUUUGAUGGGGGUAUCUCCAGUCAUGUGUCUCACCUCACCAGGAUGUGUCCUAAUCUUUUAUGAAUGGAAUUCUUUAUGAACAGAAUGCAAUUCAGACAGAAAGCCACAGGAAGCAAGAAGGUGAAAUUCAGUGGAACCCAAUCAGAAUGUCCAAUGCUUUAGGAGUAAAGACUCCCGACUUAGAUGUUGGAGAUUUUCUUCUCUUCCUCAUGCAGAUGGGUUCAGGGUUCCUGAUUCUUCUUUAUUUUCCCUAUUCCACAUGGAGCUGGAUCCCAGCAGAGGGUUCCAAAUGAUAGCGGAAAUCUUCUGACCUCACACCUGCCUCCUGCCUCCCUGGGACCCACUGAAGGAUUUCUUGUCCUUACUCCUUUCGGGCCUCUUCUUCC